GUCCGGAAUUACUGGGCGUAAAGAGCUCGUAGGUGGUUUGUCGCGUUGUUCGUGAAAUCUCACGGCUUAACUGUGAGCGUGCGGGCGAUACGGGCAGACUUGAGUACUGCAGGGGAGACUGGAAUUCCUGGUGUAGCGGUGGAAUGCGCAGAUAUCAGGAGGAACACCGGUGGCGAAGGCGGGUCUCUGGGCAGUAACUGACGCUGAGGAGCGAAAGCGUGGGGAGCGAACAGGAUUAGAUACCCUGGUAGUCCACGCCGUAAACGGUGGGUACUAGGUGUGGGUUUCCUUCCUUGGGAUCCGCGCCGUAGCUAACGCAUUAAGUACCCCGCCUGGGGAGUACGGCCGCAAGGCUAAAACUCAAAGAAAUUGACGGGGGCCCGCACAAGCGGCGGAGCAUGUGGAUUAAUUCGAUGCAACGCGAAGAACCUUACCUGGGUUUGACAUGCACAGGACGCCGGCAGAGAUGUCGGUUCCCUUGUGGCCUGUGUGCAGGUGGUGCAUGGCUGUCGUCAGCUCGUGUCGUGAGAUGUUGGGUUAAGUCCCGCAACGAGCGCAACCCUUGUCUCAUGUUGCCAGCGGGUAAUGCCGGGGACUCGUGAGAGACUGCCGGGGUCAACUCGGAGGAAGGUGGGGAUGACGUCAAGUCAUCAUGCCCCUUAUGUCCAGGGCUUCACACAUGCUACAAUGGCCGGUACAAAGGGCUGCGAUGCCGCGAGGUUAAGCGAAUCCUUUUAAAGCCGGUCUCAGUUCGGAUCGGGGUCUGCAACUCGACCCCGUGAAGUCGGAGUCGAUAGUAAUCGCA
rnacentral:rRNA from 1 species